CUACGUUGAAACACCGGUUCCCGUACGAUCGCCGAAGUUAAGCAACUUUGAGGCUGGUCAGUACCUAGAUGGGUGACCGCUUGGGAAUACCAUGUGUGGUAA